AUGGACAUGAGGACCCAUGCUCAGCUCCUGGGGCUCCUGCUGCUCUGGUUCCCAGGUGCCAGAUGUGACACCCAGUUGACCCAGUCUCCAUCCCUGUCGGCAUCUGUGGGAGGCAGAGUCGCCAUCACUUGCAGAGCCAGCCAGGAUAUUAGCAGUAGUUUACAUUGGUACCAACAGAGAGCAGGGAAAGCCCCAAAACUCCUGAUAGGUUAUGCAACUUCUUUGCAACCUGGGGUCCCAUCGAGGUUCAGUGGCAGUGGAUCUGGGACAGAGUUCACUCUCACCAUCAGCAGCCUGCAGCCUGAAGAUGUUGCCACUUAUUACUGUCAACAGAGUAGGAGUUACCCUCCCACAGUGAUACAAGCCAUAACAAAAACCUCCCAGGGAAGCAGAAGUGAGAGGCUGGGCUGCCCACCUGCUCCUCCUGGGGCCUCCACUGAUGACAGAGCUGCUCAGAUGCAGCCAGUCUGUGAAGAUCACUGGAAAGUAUCGAGGAAAAGGGCAUGA